CUGGAGGUAUCAGAAGUGCGAAUGCUGACAUAAGUAACGAUAAAGCGGGUGAAAAGCCCGCUCGCCGGAAGACCAAGGGUUCCUGUCCAACGUUAAUCGGGGCAGGGUGAGUCGACCCCUAAGGCGAGGCCGAAAGGCGUAGUCGAUGGGAAACGGGUUAAUAUUCCCGUACUUGGUGUUACUGCGAAGGGGGGACGGAGAAGGCUAUGUUGGCCGGGCGACGGUUGUCCCGGUUUAAGCGUGUAGGUGUGUGUUCCAGGUAAAUCCGGUUCACUUUAA
rnacentral:rRNA from 1 species